GGAAGAAACAUGUGCCCUCUUCGGAGAUGAGGUAUUUUGACAGAGUUGGAAAUCCCUAUGGGAAUCUAGAAGUGUUUUUACCUGUUUGUUUAAAGAUGGGGAGACGGGUGCUCUGUGUGCAUUCGGUUGAGUACACGGCUCAGUCUUGUGCUGGAAGAAGGCUGCUGUUUUGUUCCUGUAUGGCUGGCAGACUUGGUCUUCACCCGUAUCAAUUCAGAGAUUACAAGAGAUGGAGUCCUUUAGAACUACCAUACACACUUUCUGAUCGUCUACCUGGUUCUGAGUUGGGUAUUAAGAGGCUUUCAGAACUCUUAACUUUUUCGGCAAAUGUAUCUGAAACAUAGAGGAGGACGAGACAGUCAACUGCCUGGCAUGCACUGAAACAGCCUGUUGGAAAAUCGAGAGCUAGACUGGAUGACCUCUUGAGGUUUCCUUCCACCCAGUGUGUCCAUGAAGAAUACAAUGAAGAAGGUCUGUGUAACCAACUGGUAAUUUUCAAUAAUGUGAAAUAACUUGAUUUAUGAGAUCUUGUCAUAAAGCCAUAUGUUUUCAAUAGCAAAAACUGUUAUUUGAAGCUACC